AAGUGGAUGCGGUCAAAGAUGCACCCAUGCCCAGUUUUGACUCAGUCUCUUGAGGUUUUCCUUCCAUGGAACAUCUCACUUUUCCCAUCUUUGCCACUGGUGGCAGCCCUGCAUCAUGUUUUGAAUCCGAGUAAACGACAUUGUUAUUCACUCAACUUAUAGACGAGUUUCAUUGAAGUUUAUUUAAUCCAAAUUGGUAACUGGAGUUUGGUUUUGGUUUCACUUUGGUCACUUGAUUAGGGGUCGUAAUUUCCUUUUAUCGUAUCCUCCUCGGUUGAGGAUGAAAAUGUGAUGUGACAUCACCUUUAAUGUUAAAAUCAUGUCAUGGCUACCAACGGAUAAAAUUGCAAAAUCUCAUUUUAGUAAAAUUAUUCGACAAAGCGACAUAGGCAUUACCCAGAAGGAGCAAGUUAUUAAAGUGUCUAAAAUGUUUCAACUUUAGAAGAUAUGAACAACAAAUUCCAAAUUUUUACAACACAUCGGUUUCAGUUUUUGUUCUUCGAUCAAGAUAGAUCGUCUAGCAUGGCCUAAAGAAGCUUUAUAUGUGAGCGCAGCACUCUAGAAAGAAAGAGCCGACCAAAAUGAUAAAGUUAUCAAUCUAAAGAAGAGAAAUAUCUGACGAGCACGACUAGAAAGAAAGAGCAGACUAAAACGAUAUAGUUAUCAAUUUAAAGAAGAGAAAUAUAGAACGACGAGUUCUUACCGAGAAUGUAACGACAUGCCAUGGAUUCAUUCUGUAGGUGCAUCAGGCUGACUACGGACGAGGUCGGAGUGAAAGCAGAAAUGGCUGCCAUUUUUAUUCAGUGGAAUUGAGAAGAAUUUUUAGCACACCCGCUUGAA
rnacentral:lncRNA from 1 species